CCUCUGGUCUCCCUGACGGAGCGCCGGCUUCAAAACCGGAGAAGCCUGCUUGGCCCGUG
rnacentral:tRNA from 12 species